GACUCGAUGGCGUAGUGGUAGCGCCCCGGCCGCAACUACGCACGAGGACUGAACAUUUCUGCCGAGGACGUCGGUUCGAACCCGGCUCGAGUCU